GAUGAACGCUAGCGGCAAGCCUAACACAUGCAAGUCGAACGGUAACUUUUGGUGCUUGCACCGAAAGACGAGUGGCGAACGGGUGCGUAACGCGUAUGCAAUCUGCCUUUUACUAGGGUAUAGCCCAGAGAAAUUUGGAUUAAUCCCCUAUAACAUCAUUUAUUCGCAUGAUUAAAUGAUUAAAGCUUCGGCGGUAAAAGAUGAGCAUGCGUCCUAUUAGUUUGUAGGUGAGGUAACGGCUCACCUAGACUACGAUAGGUAGGGGCCCUGAGAGGGGGACCCCCCACACUGGUACUGAGACACGGACCAGACUCCUACGGGAGGCAGCAGUGAGGAAUAUUGGACAAUGGACGAAAGUCUGAUCCAGCUAUGCCGCGUGCAGGAUGACGGCCCUACGGGUUGUAAACUGCUUUUAUACAGGAAGAAACACCCCGACGUGUCGGGGCUUGACGGUACUGUAAGAAUAAGGAUCGGCUAACUCCGUGCCAGCCGCCGCGUAAAAC
rnacentral:rRNA from 1 species